rnacentral:rRNA from 1 species
CCUACGGGAGGCAGCAGUGAGGAAUAUUGGUCAAUGGACGCGAGUCUGAACCAGCCAAGCCGCGUGCGGGAAGACGGUCCUAUGGAUUGUAAACUGCUUUUGUCGGGGAGCAAAAGAAGAUACGCGUAUCUGUCUGAGAGUAUCCUAAGAAUAAGGAUCGGCUAACUCCGUGCCAGCAGCCGCGGUAAUACGGAGGAUUCGAGCGUUAUCCGGAUUUAUUGGGUUUAAAGGGUGCGCAGGCGGUCAGAUAAGUCAGAGGUGAAAUUGCGGGGCUCAACUUCGUUGGAGCCGUUGAUACUGGUCUUCUUGAGUGAGUGAGAAGUAUGCGGAAUGCGUGGUGUAGCGGUGAAAUGCAUAGAGAUCACGCAGAACUCCGAUUGCGAAGGCAGCAUACCAGCGUUCAACUGACGUUCAUGCACGAAAGUGUGGGGAGCGAACAGGAUUAGAUACCCCGGUAGUC